UCCCGUUGCAUGUGCGGGUUAUCACAUGCACCUCCCUGUUGGACCUGGCCGGGCUUUGUGCCCGGCCUUUUUU
rnacentral:ncRNA from 14 species